rnacentral:lncRNA from 10 species
UAUGGCCUCCUUUGUUCCCAUUUCAGGGUUCCACAAACUGUCUUGCAUGUGUGUGUGUGUCUGGUUACCCCGACCUUCUGUGAAGAUAAAGAAAGCUGGGCCUGUCGAAGGAUGACAGGGAUGUGCUGCCAGGUUGCUAUAGAAACCCAGGCUCUGCCUCUUGCACCUUGAGGGGGUGGGAGGGGCUGGUGUCCUCCCUCCAGGCUGAACCCCACUUCCUCGGCAGGACCCCAGUCUCAGCAGCCUCCUGAUUUCAUAACCAGGCCGGACCACGUGCAAUAGGGUGGAAACCAAACUGCUCCAUGCCGGGUUAUUUAAAAGAAAGGCAGAGUUUGUGGUGGCUUUUUUUUUUUUUUUUGGAUUGUUUGUAAUUUUUUUAAAUAAAAGUAUUUUGGAAG